GAGCGCUGGAGGACGUAGGCCGCCUCGGUGCCCUUGAAGCGGGUGUUCAGGGGGACGAGGACGGCGCCGGCGGUGACGGCGCCGAGCGCCGA
rnacentral:tRNA from 1 species